rnacentral:rRNA from 1 species
GAUGAACGCUGGCGGCGUGCCUAAUACAUGCAAGUCGAGCGAACGGACGAGAAGCUUGCUUCUCUGAUGUUAGCGGCGGACGGGUGAGUAACACGUGGAUAACCUACCUAUAAGACUGGGAUAACUUCGGGAAACCGGAGCUAAUACCGGAUGAUAUUUUGAACCGCAUGGUUCAAAGGUGAAAGACGGUCUUGCUGUCACUUAUAGAUGGAUCCGCGCUGCAUUAGCUAGUUGGUAAGGUAACGGCUUACCAAGGCAACGAUGCAUAGCCGACCUGAGAGGGUGAUCGGCCACACUGGAACUGAGACACGGUCCAGACUCCUACGGGAGGCAGCAGUAGGGGAUCUUCCGCAAUGGGCGAAAGCCUGACGGAGCAACGCCGCGUGAGUGAUGAAGGUCUUCGGAUCGUAAAACUCUGUUAUUAGGGAAGAACAUAUGUGUAAGUAACUGUGCACAUCUUGACGGUACCUAAUCAGAAAGCCACGGCUAACUACGUG